rnacentral:tRNA from 1 species
GCCUGGGUGGUGGAAUUGGAAGACACGCUGGAUUUAGGAUCCAGUGCCGUAAGGCGUGCGGGUUCGAGUCCCGCCCCAGGCACCA